UACCACAUUGCCUUCCUGCUCCCUAAUAAAGUAAAAGGCAGAAUAAAUUUAUGCUAGAUUAAAAAUGUAAUUCCUCUGUACCAUCUCAUGUCUAAUUUUGCUGAAUACCUGACCCAAGAAAACUUAACAUUUAUCUCCAACUUUACUUCUUGAUUAUGUACUCAGCUCAAACUGUGUCUUUUGCUUUUCAUUUUUCUUUGAGUCCAGCACUAGGACACACAGCUGGGUAAGACAUGUGUUUGCUUUUAAGCAGGCGGAGGAAUGCUGUUCAAGUUGUCACACACCCCCACAACCCUCCCCCAGCUCUCCCCCUCCCCCUCUCCAUCUAUCUGUACCUCUGAGACGGGCACAACCUUUUUUUAUAACUGCUGCACAGGCACGGCCGAAAGAUCCACAAAGACUUACAGCAACUUCUCAUUGAAAGCAUGGAACAAAGUGAUCAGAAAGAGCCCAGGGGGUACUGUUCUGGAGCUACAGUGAUUGAAAUCGAGCAGGAUCCAACUCUGGUGAAGGACCAUAUCCUGUGGUCUAUCUUCAGUUUCCAUUACCUGAACUGCUGCUGCCUUGGUUUUAUUGCUUUGUGGUACUCCAUUAAAUCUCGUGACCAGAAACAUGCAAAAAACUUGACACUGGCCAGAGAGUUUGGACUUACUGCAAAGCGACUGAAUAUUGUCACCACAGUCUUGACAAUCAUUACUUAUGUGAUUGUGAUUGCAAUUUAUGCUGCCACAAUAAUUACCAUGAUUUCACAGUUAAAACAGAGGAAUUAAAGAAUAAUCACGUUACGACUUUUUUCUAGCACCACGCAAAUUGGAGAGCCUAUAUGUUAUCUCCCUUAAUCCUGUAUUUGUUGUAGAUUGUCAACUAAUAUCCAGCAUUGCAUUUUUCUAUUUGUGCAUAUUAACAUAGAUUCAUAGUCUCUAGGUAUUACACUGUUGUAUAUCUAAUUUCUUAAAUGGUACAUUCUAUGGACUUUCCUGAAAAUGACUCUGUACUGAAUGCCUGGCAGCUUCUUACCAAAUAUUGAAGCCUGUAAUGCAAAUCGCAGGAAUCUUGGAUAUUUUGUGUAUUGCCAAUGUAAUCUAAAACCUACGUUUGCUUAUGUACUACAAAUUGUAUUUUUUUCACAUAUGUUUUGACAGUUUUAUACAUUAAAAUGUAUUGAAAACAAA